rnacentral:rRNA from 1 species
AUGAGAGAGAGUAGAGGCGCCAGCGUAGCCCAGCAGCCCAGCAUGCCAUUUUGGCCCAAGGCCCGGUCUCUCUCCCUGCCUAACCCUAGCCUGCACCCUGCUCGAUCCCUUUCUCUCCCUCGAUUCCUCCUCCCGCCGCCUCAUGCACCCACACACAUCGCUAGGGAGAGGAGCUCCCCAGCACGCGCGCGUCCCUCUCUUCAAUCGCCCUCGCUCCAGUCCCUCGCUCGAUCCCCCAACCUCCUCAUGCGCAGCAGCAGCACAGAUCGGCAAGCCCUGUCGCCUCCCGGCGCUCCAGCCCCGCCGCAAGCCCCUGCACCGUGUCGCCAGACUGCCUCCAGCCGUUCGCCUGCUUCCCCGGCACCCGCAUCUGACCUCUCCGGUCACCUCCUCCGCGCCUCCAGCGUGCCAUGGCCUCUUCCACCUCAACGCCAGCCAUGGCUGCCUCGCUGGCAAGCCCCGUUGCCGCUCCGACCGGCGAGUCCAGGCCGCCGAGCUCGCCUCCACCUCCCCUCCUGCUGCUGCUCAGCUCCCUCCAACGCCUUGCCUUGCCUCCUGCAUCCCGUGUGCCCUGCUGGGCGUGUGUGUGCCCACGUCUAG